CCCUUAGAUGUCCUGGGCUGCACGCGCGCUACACUGACACAUGCAACGAGUUUUUCCUUGCCUGAAAGGGUUGGGUAAUCUCCUUGAAAGUGUGUCGUGAUGGGGAUAGAUUAUUGCAAUUAUUAAUCUUCAACGAGGAAUUCCUAGUAAGUGCAAGUCAUCAGCUUGCGCUGAUUACGUCCCUGCCCUUUGUACACACCGCCCGUCGCUCCUACCGAUUGAGUGAUCCGGUGAGGCUCUGGGACCUGGUCGGAAAGAGCGUUUCGCUUGUUCUGUUUGGGAAACUUGGUCGAACCUUAUCAUUUAGAGGAAGGAGAAGUCGUAACA
rnacentral:rRNA from 1 species